rnacentral:rRNA from 1 species
GGACGAUAAGACCCUAUAAAGCUUUACAAUAAGUUACCUAUAUUAUAAAUUGUUAGUAUAACUUGAGUUUAGGUAACGUUUGUUGCGUUGGGGCGACGAGAAUAUAAUAAGUAACUGUUCUUAAGUUAUUUAAUGACAGAAAUUUCUGGAAAAUUAAUGAUCCUCUACUAGAGAUCAUAAGAUUAAGUUACUUUAGGGAUAACAGCGUAAUCUUCUUUGAGAGUCCACAUCGACAGGAAGGCUUGCGACCUCGAUGUUGAA